GCUAUAGAGCUCAUCCCACUCCCUUAACCCCAGUUUUGCAGGUUCAGUGUACAGUGUACAGGGACAGUUCAGCAGAGUACAGGAAGAGUAAAGAGAUUUGUAAUAGCUUAGAGUGGACAUGUAAUCUUAAAGAAAUGUACGAGUUGUGUAUACAGUUAGACAUGUGCUUGACCUAGUGAUGUAUGUUUUAUACAUGAUCUGUGUAUGUAUAUGUUUUCCUGUAUGUAAAAACCAGGCUUAACAGGUACGAGUUAAC
rnacentral:lncRNA from 1 species